CAGUAAACCGACACAAAUGUUUCCAAAUCGACCUAACCCAUUAUCAAAAGGAGAAACCAUAUUUCCUUGUCAUUCUCACAGGUCUCUCUCUCAAAUUUAGAAACGAGCCUCCAUUUCCAGUUGCCAUCAGAGUUUCAGACAUCUCCUUCAUCUUUACAGAAAGCUUCCUUCAAUUGUGGGUUUCUUCAUUUUUGAUUUUAUUAUAUACAUCCCAGGGCAACGUUUUCCAUAGAUCAAUUCCCUGUUCUUCCUUUCCCAGAGGUAAGGUUUCUUUCAUUUUUAUACUUAGUCAUUUUGCAUUAAUCUUGUUGUGUUUGUUUGAUUACAUUUGAAUUUUAUUUGUUUCUUCUUCUGGAUUUAUGCCUUCAUUUUAACUUAUGGUGUGAAGAAUCAACAGUUGCAUGGGUUACAUCUGAUGUUUUAAGAGAGAGUUGUAUUUUCCAAUCUUGCUCUUCUUUGAAGAUCUUUAAUAUUACCUCUUUUGAUUUAAAUAUGCCAAGGAAAUUAUGUAAUGCCCCAAGAUCCUUUAAUGUAGAUAGCUCAUUCAAUGUCGAUUCUGUGAUUGAAUCUCAUUUUCUGUUACUGCUUUGUCAUACACAUGUACAACUGAUAUUGGAUACAAUAGCAUAUGUCUCUAGGAAAAAGGUAUAGAGUUCCUACGGAAGUUCAUUUUUCAUAACAGUUGGUUACAGUGAAUUGAUUCUGCAAACCUUACAUUUUCUAGCGUUUUUGUGAUUUGGCAAUUUUGAAGGAUUUAUCACGGCUGAUGUUCUUGUUUCAAAUCUUGAGAAGGCAUGGUUAAGUUUUCAUGUUCAGGUAGGUUGAUGCUGGCUUUUGCUAUAUCCUUUAGAUUAUUAAAGUUUUUGUUGCUUCUAAUACAAUUGCCAUUGUGAUGGCGUAGAAACUGCGAUUUAGACCUUACUACUACCUAGUGAUGUAAAUUUGUUGACUGAUGUAUAUUUGUUUUCCUUUGAAAACUAUCAGCUGGUAUUUGCUUUUAUCAUAGUGACCUCAGAAAUAUGAGAUUUCCUUUGAAUUUUACCAUUUUGUAUUUUGAUCCAGUGGGCCAUUAAUUUUUUAAGCUAGUUUACUCAAUGUCUCAUUCAUGAUUAUUUUACACUCAGUGUCAUCUGGUUUAGUUACUCAUGGCACUAAUUUAUUCCUUUUUUAUAAUUUUAUAUGUAUAUCUUGUUAGAUUUGUAUAGAUAUGAACAUGGCUAGAGAUAGUGAAAUUGAAGCUAAUGGUGAAACUCUUUCAACAUUUGUUCUUCCACUUCCACCAUCAUGUUUAGGGAAGAGAAAAUAUAGAAAAUCUUAGGAUGUGUGGGAACACUUCACGGUUAUAGGGAAUCCAAACGGAGAAGAUGUUAGGUGUGCAUGCAACUAUUGUUGGCAGGAUUAUGUUUGUGGGGCUAGGAAGUAUGGAACUAGUGUCUUGAUGAAUCAUUUCAUUUUUUAUUGUAAGAAGUAUCCCGGAAGAUUGAAAGAUAAAUGACAAAAAAGUCCAACUGAGGGUGGUGUAAACAUUCUAGUUGGCUUUAAUAAGGAAGAGUGUAGGCUUGCAUGUGCUAAGAUGAUGAUAUUGGAUGAAUUACCUUUUAGGUCUGUCGAAGGUGAGGGGUUUAGACAAUUUUUAAGGUAACAUAUCCUAAAUUUGAUCCUCUAUCUCGUAGAACUGUUGUUAGAAAUAUUUAUCAGUUGUAUUUGGAUCAAAAAAUGCAAUGAAAAAAAUCAUCCAACAUCAAAGUGUUUCUCUUACAAUUGAUACUUGGAGUUCCAUUCAAAAUAUUAAUUAUAUGUCUCUCACAGCACACUCUUUUGAUUUUGAUUGGAAGCUUCAUAAAUAGAUUUUGGCCUUCUAUGUGAUUGCUAAUUAUACGGGUGAAACCAUUGGUAAAGCCAUUGAAAAUUGUUUGCAUGUAUGGGCUAUUAAGAGAUUAUUUACAAUCACAGUUGAUAAUGCAACUACAAAUGAAACAACUAUUUCUUAUAUUAAGAGGAAGAUGAUUGGUCGAAGUGGUGAUGGGUGUGCUUCAUAUGGAAAGUAUAUGUCCAUGUGUUGUGCACAUAUUGUUAAUUUGAUUGUGUAUGAGGGAUUGAAAAAAGCACAUGAUUCAAUUGUUAAUAUUCGCAAUGUGGUAAAAUAUGUUAAAUUUUCUCCUUCUAGAGAAUAAAAGUUAAAGGACUGUACGAGUGAAGAAAAAAUUGAUUGUAAAUCACUUGUGUUUUUGGAUGUACCAACGAGGUGGAAUUCCACAUAUUUGAUGUUGGAAGCCGCUUUAAAAUUUCAAAAAGAUUUUGAAAGGUUAGAGAAGGAUGAUUUGCAGUAUGUAAAUUAUUUUCAAGAGUAUGAUGAUUGUAGAAGGAAUGGGUCUCCUACAACUUUUGAUUGGGAAAAUGCUUCUAUUUUUGUACAGUUCCUUAAAGGCUUUUAUGAUAUAACUUUGAAGUUCGAUACUUCAAUGCAUGUUAGAUAUAAUGUUUAUCUUCAUGAAGUAUGUUCACUUGUAACUGAAUUGGAACAAUUGAGUUCAAGUGGUGAUGUUCUUUUGGGUGAAAUGGCUACUAACAUGAAGAAAAGUUUGACAAGUACUGGGGAAAAAUGGAAAAUGUUAAUCAAUUGUUGUUGAUUGCUACUAUACUUGAUCCACGAUAUAAAUUGUCGUAUGCUGAUUUUUGUUUUGGUGAUAUUUAUGAUGAUAAGGAAGUUGCUUGUAAUAUGAUAAAGAUUUUGAAAGAUAACUUGAUGUCUAUUUAUGAUUGGUCUGUGAGAUUUGAAACAAGAUUUGAAAGCAAUCAAGUAUGUAGUGAUUUGAAUUCUUCAAGUGAGGUUUCUUCUACAAAAGAAAGUCCCACUUCACGUGUGUCUCUUUCUCGUGUUUCUAGCUUUAAGAGAACCCAAGUAGCAAAAGAUUUAGUUGAAUUCAUAAAUGAUGCGGAUAGAUACUUGUUAGAUGCUUGUGAAGAUAAUGAGGAUGAUACUUUUGAUGUUUUUAAUUGGUGAAAAGUUAAUGGAAACAAAUAUGGUACAUUGUCAAAACUUGCAAGAGAUUUAAUGGCUAUUCAAGUGUCUAUGGUGGCCUCAGAAAGUGCUUUUAGUAUCAGAGGAAGAAUUCUUGAUCAUUUCAUAGUUCUUUAACUCCUAGGAUGGUAGAAGUUUUGGUGUAUACACAAGAUUGGAUUAAAGGGUCUACAAGCAUGAAGAAAUUCUAUAUGGAAGAUGUGAAGGAAUAUAAUAAGUUGGAUGAAAGUAAUGUAGUUAUUCCAUGAUUUAUGUUAAAUAUGUAUUUUAUCAAAUUUAUUCCUAAUUUAAUCAUUAUUUUUUUGUAGAACUUUUGGAAUCAGAGAAAUCAAAUGAAGGCUGAAUUAAUGUGAUUAGUUCAUUUCUAAAGUUUUGAGACAGAUAUGUAUUCUAAUGUGCAUAACUCUUUAUUAAUGUAAUAUUUAUCUUUUUUCUCUAACUAUUUUUGUUAUUUGUAUUAUAGGAAUGAUGCUUAAAGCUUAUGCGACAACUCGGAAGUCCUAACAUUUUACCUUAUUAUUUGUUUUAUGAGAAUUUUGAUUUUGGAUUAUUGUAGCAUUUGUGUUCUUAUUUAUUGAGUUUGGAUUACUCUAAUAUUUUUUAAUUGUUGGAUAACUGUAAUAUUUAAAUUUCUUUUCAUGUUUGAUGGUUGUUUUGAUUGUGUUUAGUUUCAUUAGUAUGUUUUUAAUCUAAUUAAAUUACCUUGUUUCGG
rnacentral:lncRNA from 1 species